UGGCGGAUGGGUGAGUAACGCGUGGGUAACCUGCCUCACACUGGGGGACAACAGUUAGAAAUGACUGCUAAUACCGCAUAAGCGCACAGGACCGCAUGGUCCGGUGUGAAAAACUCCGGUGGUGUGAGAUGGACCCGCGUUUGAUUAGCUAGUUGGUGGGGUAACGGCCUACCAAGGCGACGAUCAAUAGCCGACCUGAGAGGGUGACCGGCCACAUUGGGACUGAGACACGGCCCAA
rnacentral:rRNA from 1 species